CCCGGCGUUGGGGCCCCAGUUCACGGCGAGGAAGCGGAGGGGAAGACGGGCGCCGUAGGCUGCUGUCCCCGCCCUGGUAACUCAGAGCAGCGGCUUAGCGGCAGGGGCGACGGCCGUCGGAGGGCCUGCCCUGGGCAAGCAGAAUGCAAAUGACUUCACUUGGGUUUCUGCCAACUUUACAAUCCUGCAUGGAGUUCUCUUCUUUAUGAUGCCCUCCCAUUCCUGGGAUCACCAAUGCUGAGGACACAGGCUGUGUUUCCUUCUGUGCAUCUUAUGUCUGUGUAAACAUAACCACUGUGAGAUGAUGAGGGCUGAGCACAUGAGUGGUCCCAGGAGCCAGUUCCAGAAGCCAGCGUUGACUGCAUCACCUCGUGUGUGCCUGACCUCACUGUACAAUUUCAUCCUUACAGCCGCCCUCACGAUCGGUAUCUCCAAUUCACGGAUGAGAACACUGAGGCUCACAGGUCCCAAGGGCAGUAAGUGCCAGAGCUGGGAUUUGACUGAGCUUAUAUCUCUGCACUUUGAAAAGCAGACAGCAUCUUGGUCUGUGAGAAUUCCUCUCUUGCAUCUGGGGGACGGAGAUGCUGAGCCAGCAUGGAAAGAGCCUGAAGAUACAAGUUUGCCUCACGACUGAGCCCCUAAAUGUGAAGUGUGAGGCCUCAGCAGCCUAAUAUGUGGCCCCUUCUUUUCUUUGGCAUGGUUUUUAGAAGACUCAGGAGCCUGAGCUGGGGAAGGAAGGGAGGGUGAGCCCAGCUCAUGUCCACAGGACACAUGUCAGCAGAAAAUACACACCUAGUCAGAGGAAUGCACUUUCACAUUCUACACACACAUAUGCACAUGAACCCUCAUGAUGUUCAAAGCUGUCUCCUCACCAUUAUCCCAUUUAGGACUCCAAUCAGGGCUGCCUCCUAUGGUUGCUCAUGCCGUGCACUGCACAAUUGUAAGAGCCGCCAGUCACAUGGACUGUGAUGUGAGCAGCACCCCCUGGAGUAGCCUAACACAGUGGCCCUGUUCACAGUAACCUGGGAGGGAGCCAAGGAGACUUGGCCCAUUUUGUAGCUAGUAGAAACUGAAGCUCAGAGACAGCCAGUGACUUACCCAUGGGUCAAAGAAUGAGUCAGUGGUUGGAACAAAUUCUAUGUCAUCCUUUGUCUCCCUCCCCCAGGCAUUUCACAAAGAAUUCCUCUUUCUUUCUAAAACUUUGAUUUACUUUCAAAAACAAA